AAAAUUAGUGGGAAGAAAAGAUCUUGUUGAGCUUACUGACUCUAGUCUGGCACUGUAAGGAGACAUGAGAGGUGUAGCAUAAGUGGGAGAUGGCAACAUCGCCGGUGAAAUACCACUACUUUCAUCAUUCCUUACUCAUUCAGUUGGGCGGAGCGCGUACGUCGAGGGCUUCAUGUCCCGGCGGUCACAGUAUUCUAGAGCCAAGCGUGUCAGAGUGGCGUGAGGCCUCGGCCAAUCGCCGAUGAUACUCCCGCGUGAUCCGAUUCGAGGACACUACCAGGCAGGGAGUUUGACUGGGGCGAUACAUCUGUCAAAGAAUAACGCAGAUGUCCUAAGGCCAGUUUAGCAAGGACAGAAAUCUCACGUAGAGCAAAAGGGCAAAAACUGGCUUGAUUUCGAUGUUCAGUACGCAGAGAGACUGCGAAAGCACGGCUUAUCGAUCCUUUUGGCUUGAAGAGUUUUGGUUUUCAGAAAAGUUACCAGAGGGAUACUAGCUUGUGGCGGCCAAACGCUCAUAGCGACGUUACUUUCGAUGUCUGCUCUUCCUAUCAUUGCGAAGCAGAAUUCGCCAAGCGUCGGAUUGUUCACCUGGGGAACGUGAGCUGGAUUUAAACCGUCGUGAGAUAGAUUAGUUUUAUCCUACUGAUGACUAAUCAUUGCGAUAGUAAUCCUGCUCAGUACAAGAAGAACCGCAGGUUCCGACUUAAUUCACGCACUCGAUCGAGCGGCUGGUAGUGCGAAGUUAUCAUCCGUGGGAUUAUGCCUGAACGCCUCUAAUGCCAUAUCCUCUGUAGUCAAAGGUGGCAAUGAUAUCUCUAGAAGUCUCGUGAGUCGAAAGGCUCAAAACAAUGUGACACUACUAGGCGACUAGUCCACGAACCGGACAUCGCACAAGCCCGAUUUGCCGUACAGCGCCAUCGCCCGUCGUCGGGAUCUCACUGCUACGUCUAACAUGAAUUUCGCGAGUUCGAUGUCGAGACUCGGAAUCAUCUGUAGACGAUUUACCUGGCAGGGUGAUGUACUCGGUAGAGCAAUUACCAUGCUGCGAUCUGUUGAGACUCAGCCCUCGGCUUGGAGAUUC
rnacentral:ncRNA from 1 species